rnacentral:rRNA from 1 species
AUACGUAGGUGACAAGCGUUAUCCGGAUUUACUGGGCGUAAAGGGCGUGUAGGCGGUCUUGCAAGUCAGAAGUGAAAUUCCUGAGCUCAACUCGGGCGACGUUCAAAACUGGCGGACUAGAGUGCCGGAGAGGAAAGUAGAAUUCCCAGUGUAGCGGUGAAAUGCGUAGAUAUUGGGAGGAAUACCGGUGGCGAAGGCGGCUUUCUGGACUGUAACUGACGCUGAGGCGCGAAAGCUGGGGGAGCGAACAGGAUUAGAUACCCUGGUAGUCCCAGCCGUAAACAAUGAACACUAGGUGUAGGGGGUAUCGACCCCUCCUGUGCCGCAGCUAACGCAUUAAGUGUUCCGCCUGGGGAGUACGGCCGCAAGGUUGAAACUCAAAGGAAUUGACGGGG